rnacentral:lncRNA from 1 species
CGCAGUCUGCCGGUGGCCAGGGCCUAGGUCAGCAAGAGUUAGCUUCCUGUGCCUUCGACAAACACCUGAGAAAAGCCACUUAAAGGAGGAAGGGCUUAUUCUCGGGUCAUGAUUCAGAGGUUUCAGUCCAUGGUCCUUGGCCCAGUGGCUCGGGCCCCUGGUGGCACAGGACGUCACGGCGGGGAUGUGUGGUGGAACAAAGCCACCCACUCAUGGUGGCCAGGAAGCAGAGAGAGAGGAGACCCGCACCCCGUACCCUUUCAAGGGCAUGGCCCAGGGACCCACUGCCUCCCCAGAGCCCCCUCCUUGGGGCCCACCUCCUCCUGAGAGCAGCCCGGGGCAGAAGCCUGCAGCACUGGCCAGCAGCAGAGGUGUCACCGAGUGUGGAAAGCCGAGCGGGAAGAAGUGAGAGAGUGCCCAAGGCGGUGGCUCUGCUGCCCGCCCAGCUCAGCCGCAAGGUCAUCUCUCUGACUCCUGGGCUGUGGAAGUGGCCUUUCUUCCCCGAGGAACACAGAUCAGAAACUCAACAAAAUACCAGCACACCGCUCCAACAGCACAGAAGAGUGACCACACACACACCGUGUCAUCCCCGGGAUGGCUCCGCACCAGCCAUGCCCAGUGACCGCCAACCCCGGCUCAGUAGACGCACAAGGGGCUUUGACGAGGUUCAGCAUCAUUUGUGAUUAAAAGAACAAACCUAAACCAUUAUGUGUGGCCUAAGGGGCGUGUGCCCAGUCAGACGGGCAGGCACAGCCGGAUGAUCUUCCUGAAGAUCCAGAGAAAGACAAGGAAAGUAAACAAAGAGGGACCCAGAGGCAUCCAGGUAGGAGAGGAGGAGGUGGGUCCUGGGCAGAGAUGGCUUCACUGACAGUGAAGUGGGUGAGAUUGCAGGGCUCAAGGUCCACGUGAAACAGCAGCUCUUCCCUGCACCAACAGUGGAGAUGCUGAGAAAGAAAUCAAGAAAACAAUUUAUUCACAAAAGCUGCAAAAUAUUCCCAAGAAUAAAGUUGACCAAGGAAUUAGAUGAUCUUCCGUGAGGAUCGCAGGACAUGGAUGGCAGAGGGACGAGGCUCCUGUGGGUAUGGGUCAGAACUGACGUUGUUAAAAUGCCCCCGCCCAAAGCUAGCUGGGCUUAAUGUGACCUACACAAUACUGACGGCGAGCUUCGUGAAAAUCCGAGCAUACUCCUGAAGCGCAGGUAAGAGCAGAGGAGACCCCAGAUGGCCAGAGCAAUACUGAACAAAAUACUGAACACAAGGUCGCGAGACAUCACAAAGUGACAGCAGCCCAAACUGCAGAUGCUGGCAUAGAAACAGUCCCAGAGCCAGGUGCAGUGGUGCACGCCUGUCAUCCCAGCAGCUCCGGGGGUUGAGGCAGGAGGACUGCAAGUUCAAAGUCGGGCUCAGCCAAAGAGAGGCGUUAAGCAACUCAGUGAGACCCUGUCUCUAAAUAAAAUACCAAACAGGGCUGGGGAUGUGCUCUGUGAUCGAGUGCCCCUGAGUUCAAUCCCUGGUACCGUCC